UUGAGCUCAAAUACUUCCCCAACUUAAAAGAAAACAAACUAUUCACUGAUGUCAGCAUUGCCUCAGCUUGUUCUGUGCUGCGUGUCUGAUGACGGGCCAAUGUCUCUGGCCUCCUCGCCCCAUCCCGUCAGUUCUCAGAAAUGAUUCAGUGUCACAGAUGCAGGAACACAGGAGUCAGGGGCCAGGACAGGGAGGGAAGGAAUGCGGAAGGAAUGCCUGUGAGACCAGCUGUAAACAAGACGAUAAACAGGUCUGUUUGUGAGGCCCAUGGCUGCUCGACUGACAAAGGUGUACAUGUUCUGAGCUUUUCAGAGGCAACAAAAUGCUCCCUUACAGUCCUUACAAAUCAGAAUCAAGCGUAGGCUCGUGCUCGGCACCCAAGACUGUGACGACAGACUGUCUUCAAUCCCCUUGGAGCGCAGGUGGGUGCUGACCCCGCACGUCUGGGGCCCGGCUGUGAAGUGAGAGCUCAGGAAGUCUCGGCAAGGCUGCGCUCUCCUGCUGCUGAGAAGGGCUACCUCUCAAACGUGAUGUUCACCACCCUCCUCGGAGACACCGCUGUCCCUCGGGGCCCAGAGGACAGCUGGGAGCCUACACCCCCUUCAGAGGCGGCCCUGGGUCCCUCAGUGCUGAUUUCACAAGCUUAGCCUGGACGAGGUCUUUCAUUUUAUACUCCUGUGGUCCCUCCUCAAGUCAGAUACAGAUCCCAUGCUGAUUUCUCCACGACUCGAAUCAGAGACUAUUGAUCACUUACAGAUUUUGGAAGGCCUCCUUGAAAGGGUGCGUUUUCUACAUGAUUUUAUUUCUCUUUUCAAGAGCUCACUGAAGUUCUAGCACCAAGCAAGUCAGGCGGUCAGGCUUCUACAGGAAGUGCAGGAAACGCAGAAGCAGUUAGACUCAUGGAUGCUGUUUGCCAUGUGUGACUCCCAGUCCUGCAGCAGGCGGCCCCCUUGGGCGGGAACGGGGAACCCUCAUGGCCGAGGUCCGCGGCUGGAGCUCACGGCGCUGACCUCUGCAGCUGCUGGUACUUAUGAGGGUGUGUUUUCAGAGGACUUCACCUUCUGAACUUCAUAUUCACUGCUGUACGAAAUCGUAUGACUUUGAGAGAGGCCCUGGUGUUUGUCAUUGACAAGAAGGAGCUGAUGUACUUGCAACCUCAAAUGAAGCAGCACAAAAAUACAGCACAGGAAGAGUUGGCAGGCAGCUGAGUUUUCUCUGAAAGGAUACCUGGACCAGAAAGUCUUGGCUCUACCCUAUCUGACAGGGGUCUCUGCAAACCUGUGUACAGGGGCUCUGUGAGAGGGCUGCCAGGACACGCAGGUGAGCAAGGAAGGCCGAUGGAGACAGUCAUGAAGCCUAGUAGCACAACCUGGGUCAUCCUUUCCUUGAUUUCCUGUGCUUGUUUGGUACCCAGACAGGGGCAUCUCCACUAGCCCCUGAUCCAAGCCUUGCAAAGCCCCCUUUGUUCAGGACCCCCACAGCUGUCUGCCCCCCAUGUACUUCUCUUCACCACUAGAGACCACCUAAAAUGAAGCCACCAGAGAUUCCAAACCAAAAGCACCUAACACAUAUAUUGUAAAAAUUUCAGAUAAAAUAAAUCAUAUCUUCUCCAA